rnacentral:tRNA from 1 species
GCAGUAAUAAACCUCAUGUGGCACUAAUAAUGCCAAGGUCACGGGUUCAAUCCCUGCUCACUGCA